rnacentral:rRNA from 1 species
UACAGAGGUCUCAAGCGUUGUUCGGAUUCACUGGGCGUAAAGGGCGCGUAGGUGGCGCCGUAAGUCAGGCGUGAAAUUUCGGAGCUUAACUCCGAAACUGCAUUUGAUACUGCGGUGCUUGAGGACUGGAGAGGAGACUGGAAUUUACGGUGUAGCAGUGAAAUGCGUAGAGAUCGUAAGGAAGACCAGUGGCGAAGGCGGGUCUCUGGACAGUUCCUGACACUGAGGCACGAAAGCUAGGGGAGCAAACAGG